rnacentral:tRNA from 1 species
CCGCCAGAUGGUCGGCGGCGGCCAGGCUGUUGCUGGAAGCAAUGAUCCGAUAGUUCGGAUGGUCCUCGCGCAGUUCGGCGAUGCGACGGCGGAC